CGCGUGAGGAACCUGCCUCAAAGAGGGGGACAACAGUUGGAAACGACUGCUAAUACCGCAUAAGCCCACGGGUCGGCAUCGACCUGAGGGAAAAGGAGCAAUCCGCUUUGAGAUGGCCUCGCGUCCGAUUAGCUAGUUGGUGAGGUAACGGCCCACCAAGGCGACGAUCGGUAGCCGGACUGAGAGGUUGAACGGCCACAUUGGGACUGAGACACGGCCCAGACUCCUACGGGAGGCAGCAGUGGGGAAUAUUGCACAAUGGGGGAAACCCUGAUGCAGCGACGCCGCGUGGAGGAAGAAGGUCUUCGGAUUGUAAACUCCUGUUGUUGAGGAAGAUAAUGACGGUACUCAACAAGGAAGUGACGGCUAACUACGUGCCAGCAGCCGCGG
rnacentral:rRNA from 1 species